rnacentral:rRNA from 1 species
UACGUAGGGAGCAAGCGCUGUCCGGAAUCAUUGGGCGUAAAGCGCGCGUAGGCGGCCCCGUAAGUCCGCUGUGAAGGUCAAAGGCUCAACCUUUGAAAGCCGGUGGAUACUGUGGGGCUAGAGUCCGGAAGAGGCGAGUGGAAUUCCUGGUGUAGCGGUGGAAUGCGCAGAUAUCAGGAGGAACACCAAUAGCGGAGGCAGCUCGCUGGGACGGUACUGACGCUAAGGCGCGAAAGCGUGGGGAGCGAACAGG